rnacentral:rRNA from 1 species
UGGCUCAGAACGAACGCUGGCGGCGUGCUUAACACAUGCAAGUCGAACGAGAAAGUGGAGCAAUCCAUGAGUACAGUGGCGACCGGGUGAGUAACACGUGAUCAACCUGCCCUCGAGUGGGGAAUAACUCCGGGAAACCGGAGCUAAUACCGCAUAACAUCUUCGGAUCGGAAGAUCUGAUGAUCAAAGGAGCAAUUCGCUUGAGGAGGGGGUCGCGGCUGAUUAGCUAGUUGGUAGGGUAAUGGCCUCCCAAGGCAAACGUGGAAAUCCGGCCUGAGAGGGCGCACGGACACACUGGAACU